rnacentral:lncRNA from 1 species
UAACUUAUGGUUGCCAUGACCUUGAUCCGAAUAGGGGUCAAAAUCCAUAGUUGCACCAAGAACCGUAGCACCAAUCCUACAACAUGGUUGCAGCCAGAGGAUGGGCCGAAGCACCAAGUAGGAGAGGUCAGAGUAGUGGUCGCCGACUGAAAGAGAUUCGAGGUUGGGCCAGGAUAGUCUACAUGACGAAGAAGUGAGGA